rnacentral:rRNA from 1 species
GACGAACGCUGGCGGCGUGCUUAACACAUGCAAGUCGAACGCUGAAGCUCAGCUUUUGUUGGGUGGAUGAGUGGCGAACGGGUGAGUAACACGUGAGUAACCUGCCCCCUUCUUUGGGAUAACGCCCGGAAACGGGUGCUAAUACUGGAUAUUCACUGGUCUUCGCAUGGGGGUUGGUGGAAAGGGUUUUUCUGGUGGGGGAUGGGCUCGCGGCCUAUCAGCUUGUUGGUGGGGUGAUGGCCUACCAAGGCUUUGACGGGUAGCCGGCCUGAGAGGGUGACCGGUCACAUUGGGACUGAGAUACGGCCCAGACUCCUACGGGAGGGAGCAGUGGGGAAUAUUGCACAAUGGGCGCAAGCCUGAUGCAGCGACGCCGCGUGAGGGAUGGAGGCCUUCGGGUUGUGAACCUCUUUCGCUCAUGGUCAAGCCGCAACAAUGGUUGUGGUGAGGGUAGUGGGUAAAGAAGCGCCGGCUAACUACGUG